rnacentral:rRNA from 1 species
AACGAACGUUAGCGGCGCGCUUAACACAUGCAAGUCGAGCGAGAAAGGGGCAACCCCGGUAAAGCGGCGCACGGGUGAGUAACACGUAGGUAAUCUACCCUCGGGUGGAGGAUAACUUUCCGAAAGGAAGGCUAAUACUGCAUGAGACCACGACCUCGAAAGGGGAUGGGGUCAAAGCCGGCCUCUGUACACAAGCUGGCGCCUGAGGAUGAGCCUGCGGCCCAUCAGCUAGUUGGUAGGGUAAUGGCCUACCAAGGCGAAGACGGGUAGCUGGUCUGAGAGGAUGAUCAGCCACACUGGAACUGAGACACGGUCCAGACUCCUACGGGAGGCAGCAGUGGGGAAUCUUGCGCAAUGGGCGAAAGCCUGACGCAGCGACGCCGCGUGAGUGAUG